rnacentral:rRNA from 1 species
UACGGGGGGGGCAAGCGUUGUUCGGAAUUACUGGGCUUAAAGGGCUCGUAGGCGGCCAACUAAGUCCGACGUGAAAUCCCCAGGCUUAACCUGGGAACUGCGUCGGAUACUGGAUGGCUUGAAUCCGGGAGAGGGAUGCGGAAUUCCAGGUGUAGCGGUGAAAUGCGUAGAUAUCUGGAGGAACACCGGUGGCGAAGGCGGCAUCCUGGACCGGUAUUGACGCUGAUGAGCGAAAGCCAGGGGAGCAAACGGG